AAGUCGUAACAAGGUUUCCGUAGGUGAACCUGCGGAAGGAUCAUUAAUUAAUCGCGAAAGGGGGCCGGGUUGCCCUACACCCCUUCUGGGGGGUGAUAUGGUGGGCAACUGGCCCCGCUUUUGAUUAUAUCCCAUCUGUGAACUUUUCCACUGUUGCUUCCGUGAGCCUGUACUUUGCUCUCUUUGAGAGUUGGAGUACCUGAAAAGCCCUGGUUCUACCAGGGCGCACGGCAAUGGUACCACAACUCUGGUUUAUGUUGUAUAAGUCUGAGUGGUUAACACACAAACAAGUUAAA
rnacentral:misc_RNA from 1 species